UCCCCAGCCCCAGUCUCAGAUCUAUGCAUCAGCAAAGGUCUCAGCUCAGCUCCCAUAAGGCCUUAGGACAGGAGAAAGGGGAUUGCCCGGUGGAACAGGGCCCCUUGCCAGCAACUAUAAUCUUUAAGCUGAAAGCAAGAAGGUGGAUCCUGAUAGAAACCUGCACACUUGGACCAGAAAUGUCUUUGAAGAAAGUCCUGCAUAAGAGCCUGGAGACAAGGAAAAGAGAGGACCCAGAGCACACUAGGUUCCCGGUAGGGACCCAGCAGGUGUAGAGUGCCUUGGACCUUGGACAACUGAAUAAGGGAAGACUGAAGGCCUGCAUGCUUCUACCGCCAGGGUUGCCUGAGUAUAGUGAACAAGCACUUAGGCCCUCGCACAGACUUCUGGCCGCCUAGGCGGAGAGCACAGGACGGGACAGAUGCGGAAGGACUGGGCCACCGAGCUGUCUGCCCCACCCUGCCCUCUGUGGGCCUCCUAGAACAGCCUGUCCCUGGCGCCCGCGGUUCCGUCGUAACCCGGGGCUUCCUGGAGACUGAGAAUCCAGUCGCAGAGCCCACUGACCGCACGGUUUCCGAGAGCCCCGCCCCACCGCAGGGCUGGUCUGCGACCGGAGGACACGCCCAUGGAUGGGGGACACGCCUCCACAAGGACCCGCCCAUUUUCCUAGAUUUGCCUCAUUGAACACAAGCACCUGGUCACAACAGGCCAGUCAUGCUCCUGCCCUACCCCGAAGGCCCGCCCAGACUAGCGGGGUGGGCUACGGAGUGCGCGGCCCCUACGCCUUAGACCCUAACGGGAUCCUUGAGUCCUCUGGUGCUCAGGGAUGAGGACUGCUCACCUGUAAGCGAAAGCUGGUUCCCGGGCACCCAUGUUCAACGCUAGGUGGCUACGAGAGGUGCUCGGCCCUCAGGCGGUGUGGGUCCCCAGCUAUGCCCCGCGGCCAUCGUGCUUUGUGUACCGCGACCUUCAUCAGGCUUCCCGAGGAGUAGUGGGCAAUCGCGGCCCAGAACACCGGCGCUGAGCUGGGAGAGCGCAGGGCAGAAACACGAGACCCCGGCAAAACUUGGGACAUGGAGCGAGAAGGCACGAACAGAGAAGGGACAGCUUCUGAAUCACAUUUUUCCCUAAGACAGGGUGUAUCCCUGGAACGCGCUCUGUUGACCAAACUGGCUUCGAACUCAGAGAGCUCUGCCCUGCCCUGCGGUCCGAAUGCUGGCAUAAUUGCUUGUGCCACCACCACCGGCCUGAAUCACAUUUUUAAAAAAGGUCUUGGUGUUGGUUGUGAACUGGAAGGAAGGUCUUAAAUUCAUCUGUUCACAAUUUAUUGUUCUAUCUUACUAUAGUGUGAAAGCCGAUUUAAGCAAUCCUGGUGUUCUCCUUUUGGUAUUGUAUUAAAUUAUAUGAGAUAGUCA